GAGCACCGAUUUUCGGUGGGAAAGCUACAAAGUCUAUCAACACCCGUUUGGAAAUCGGAAGAUAUAGCGAUGGACUUUGUCACGCCCCGCGACCACCCGCCUAUUUGGCCGGGUCGCGGCGCCGCCGACAGAUCGCCGAACGGACAGGGUUUCCCCUGUACUGCGGACAGAGUCUCCCCUGUACGUUCAAGGCAUAACAAUCAAUACAAUGUGCGAAGUUCCAACCAGGAACACAUUUCAAUCAAGGAUUGCAUAAUGGAAGGUAUCAAACAACAUAACACAUCCUAUAUUAUUACAUUCAUUCAUAUUCAUGCAUUUUUACAUCCCAAAUACUUAUUACAUUUAACUUCCAAAUACAAUCCGAUUUAAUAUAAUUAUUACAACUUGAUUCUUUCAUUCUUUACAUCCCUAAGUAAGGCCGACUUAGGGUACCACUAUCUCUGGUCUCGGUGGUAGGGCGCUAACUAUGGAGCUACGCCCUCGCCUCGCGCCGCCGCGCCGCUCACGUGCGAACCUGUAAAACCCCAAAACCACGUGGGGUGAGAACCAACUCCAUGGUUCCCAGUGGGUACGGCCACCCAAGGGAAAAGCUCGACCAAUUGGUCCAAGGGAGGCAACUGCAAGUUAGUUCAAUAAACAGAUAGAUAUAUAUCUUUAUUAUGCAACUAAUAAAACCAUGCUUUGCCUCACGAAUGCAAUAAUGCCAUGCUAUAUGCGAAUCAUGCAACUAUACAAGUAGAAUAAAUGAUUUUACUUUGUAUCAUGCUAUCCAUAGCUUUUUCAUAAUUUAUACAUCUUAUCACUUUACAUCAUUGGUUAUUUGCUCCUAAGGUUUUCCUCUACCCUAGCCAAGCUAACCACCCGACUCGGUCUCGAGUCAAUCAACUGCGGAAUACCGCACCAAAACUAGGCUCGAGGUGAUGGACGUCUCACAUACACCUCAGCCCUAAAUCCUCUCAACUGGGAUACCAAACUCGUAACACAUAAUGCUAUACAUUCACUUGGCUUUGACCCAAUCUUACCGGUUAACCAUGUUAACCCCAAUGACUCACAACCCAAAAUCCCUUAAUAGCGGGGGACUCGAACCUCCAUGGGGACCGUCUUCUGGGGGGACUUUACCACGCCCAGUGGUGACCAACUCUGGAGCGCACCGCCCGAGGGGGAGCUACCUCCCUCAAGCCAAGACUUAUCGUGAGUAUCGAUCUAAUCCUCAACUUGAGGAUUCAUAGCCACUUGUCACAAUGCCAUUGUCAUAAUAGGUUUUCUACCUAUUUAAUCAUGCCACUCCCUAUGUCACCUUGGUCCAAUGCCACUCUUGGUUAAACUAUGUUUAACAACUAUGUUCUCUAUGCCAAUCAAUGUCUCUAUUGUCAAUGUCACCUUUGUUUACUAUGUCCAAGUACAACUCUCACAUUCACACAAUAAUAGGGUCCUAACAUACAUGUCCAUCAUGGUUCUAUCUUUCUCUAUGUUCAAUUACGUUAGAAGCAUGUCAUCGAAAGCAACCAAGAUUCACAUGUACUUAGUCCUAUUAUGUAUGAAUGAUACAAAUAUAUAUGCUCAAAUACCACAAGUGUUUACAAGGUUCAUGACACUAGGCUCACACUAUACUUGUUCAACCUAUGUUCUUUGACACUAGGUUCAUAUCCUCCAUGUUCAACCUAUGUCCAUGACUCUAGGUUUAAUGCCACUCGAUCUAAUGUAUAUAGAUUGUCCAUAUGCACAUUUUCAUUUCUUAACAUUAGUAUAUAUCUCUACAACAUGAUCAUCAAGUAUAUCUUAGUAUUAGCCACAUGCUUGCAUUUAUUAUUUCUACAUCAUGCUUAUUAUACCAUUACUUAGCAUUAUCCACAUGUAUGCUUUAGCAUUACUCAAUGCAUUCAUCUAGCACUAUUUACACUAAGUCAUCAUGCAUUCCUGUUCUUAUAAUGUUAACAUUCAUAUACCCUUUAUCUUAUGCAUUCAAAGCAUUAGUCACAUGCAUUUAUCUAGCAUUUCUAUAAUAUGUUAACAUGCAUUCUUUUCACAUUCUUACAUUACGUCAAAUGCAUUCCUCUAGCAUUUCACAUUAUAUGUCAACAUGCAUCAAUAUGAAAUCUCAUUUCUUAGACAUAAAGGACGACCUAGUCGCUUCGGUAAACACAACCCACCUCAUUUCGCAUUCCGAUUGCUUGUCGACACUUGCAAUCGGCCGCCCGCGGCACCCGGCACUCGGUUUGGCCCGAUCUCUUGCGCGACCACCCGAACGGCCUCCAAUUCACGAUCCGAAAAUUAAAGGUCUUCGGUUAUGUGCCACGAUGCCUCAAAUCCGUUUUCAUGAAUUUACGAUAUCGCCUCGGCCCUCCAGGCGAAAACGAAGCCUAAACAUCCGUUUCUUUAAUAACUUCGCAACGGCUCGACGAAUCGCCGAACCGUCUUCGCCAACGCGUUCGUUUACCUAGCAAUUAGGUUUACGGAGGGUCAAAUGAGAUCAAACCCUCAUAUUUACAAAACUAGCAUUUUUGAGCCCUAGAUGCAAUUAACCUCCAAAUAAUCCAAAUUAAAUGGAGCAACAUGCUAAUAAUGCUCAUUAGAGGCUAUUAGAACACUUAAAGCUAAGGAUUAAGCCAAAUCCCAAAAGCUUACCACAACGUGAACGCCGUGACGACAACACACCGCUCCAACGGCCGCACGAAAGCCCGAUCCGUCGCCUCCAACGUGUUCGCAAGCAUCUUCUCCACCAACCCUCCAAAUUUUAGAGAGAGAUUUAGAGAGAUGAGAGGGAUAUCUAGAGAGAGGAAGGAGAGCUUCUCUCUCUAUCUCCAUGAGUGUGCGUGUGUGUGUGUGGCGUGUGUGCGGCUGAAGGAGAAGAAGAAGACAACAAGUCUUCUUAAUAAUACCCCCAAGACACUAUUCACUCCCGGGCAGCUUAAAAUCUGAUAACUUUCGCCGGAGCUACCUGAAUGUCCGUUUGAGCUCAAACUUGACAGUCAUGUUCGGUUUUACUUAACUUAACAAGCUGACGAUCACUGGUUCAGUUUCGACCCCGUUUGGUCACUGAAAACUGUACCGAACUGCAAUCUUUAUCAGAUAAUUCUCGGAUUUUAUUUCUCACUCUACGGGUGUCAGAAAAAUAUGAAACUUUAAAACUAGCCUCAUAAAAAUAUUUCUGACUUAUCCUCCAAUUUUCAUAAUUUUCUGAGACUAUGCAUUUUCUGCUAAUUUAUCUGUCCCGUUUCCAACAGAAAAUUCUA
rnacentral:lncRNA from 1 species